GGGCAGGUGCGGGCAGAGCUUGGUGCCUGCGGAGGCCGGGCGACGUCGAGGGCCUGCGUGGAGGGAGCCGGUGAGGGCACCGCGUUCAGGCCGCGGUAAUUACCGCCGCCCUUUUUACGUUUGCGGGGGUUGGGGGGGUACGGUGUUUUGGCCGCCUACGGUGCAAAUGCUUGAAGGGGUAACAGAUUAGUUUAAGCUUACUCCCCUGUUUUGGCGAAGGCUGUGUCUGUCUGCUGUGAGAACUUCAGAGUUUGCUCCCGCAGAAUAAGGGUCUGCCACAACCCCGGCUCGCGGCCGCACGAGCACCGAGCUUCCCCGCCCGAGGCAGAAGAGCUGUUGGCGCUGCUUAGGUACGCUGUUCAGCAAGAGCACCGCGGAGACCAGCCGCACAAGCCUCCGCUUCAGACCCAGUCAACUGAACUUCUGUGUCUGAUGACCUUUCCACCGUGAAGUCAUGUGUGUGAUUGAGGAUUAAAUAGCACCCCCCUCUCUGUGCAUAGCUGAAGCAAAAGCCAGAGUUUUGAUUUUAGUGAAGGCUGAAGCCUACUUAUUUUGUCAAGAAGUUGUAAGCGUGAUCGCUGCACUCCUGCCUUCCUUGCAAAGGACACCCCGGAGAGAGCAACAAAUAGAAAAAAAAGAGAGCUUCCCAGCACGAGGAACCCUGGGAUACUUAUCUGCGUGCUUGACCCAGUGCAAAAAUACUGACAGCCAGGCUGUGUUUUGGCCUCAGCAUGGCUCCUGGCUGCCUGGUCUGGGCUAUUUCAGUCUGCGAGGGUACUCUGCAAAGCGGAGAAAAGAAGCCAAGGAUGAAAAGGGAAAUGACUGGUCUACUGUUGCAUUGGGAGGCUGUGCUAGGACACAGAAGAUUCAGAAGAAAGAGACCGGGUUGGUAGUUUUGCAAUGUAAUGAAUUCUCACAGGUAGUGAGCUGGUGUAGAUGGUGAUUUUAGAGCAUAUACAUCUAGCCCGAGAUUCCUAGCACAGGAGGCAAUAACCUCGCACUGUCUCGGAUCAUAUCGUGUCACACUGAAUGUUGACCUUGGCUGACCUUACAUCAUGACAUGCUACAGUUGAAGUAAUGUAACAUGAACCAAUGUAUCAUGCGCUUAAUGUUAAUCUGGAGUUAUCAUCUGUGAACAAGGCAAAAAGUUUGGAAAGUUUGUUGUGUGGAUCUGCCCUGUGUUCCUCGGGCAGUCUCUGAGCUGCACGUGUUCGAGCUAACAACCAAAACCAACAGAGGGGAAGAAGAAGGGCGGAAACCAGACAAGUAUUUCUGUAACAGUUAGUUAUAAAGAUCCUGAUCAGUUUAAUGUGGAUCUGAAGAUAAUCUACUAAAGAGGCUCUAUGCCCCUUGACACCGUAGUAACCAGGGCAGGAGCGCGAGCAGGCAGUGGGAGCGCUCGACAGCAUUCGUUGGACUCUUGGGGUUUUUGGUGUAGAAAGCUUCAUAUAUACGUUUCUGAGUACAUUUGUUGUUGAAUGUAUUGCUGAAUAUAUUUAUUGCUAUUACGCUGGUUAAAAAAAGGGUUAAUGGUAGUGUUGGGCCUUAUGAAGUAAUCAUUUUCGUAAUAUUUACUUUAUUCAUGUGCUUGCUCAGCCUUUUGACCCUCUGUGAAAUUGUACCUAAUAUUAUGAGGGUUUAUCUGUGGGGGUUUUUUUCCUAGAAAGACUUUGAGAUAAUUCUGUGCGCUGUUUUGGAAAAUAAUUUGUAA
ensembl:lncRNA